CCCUGCAUCGCUGGCGCUCUCCAUCGUCAUCAUCACGUCGCUGCGCACGCCGUCCCGUCAUCCAAUAGGGCAGUGCGUAGUGACGUUAUGAUGGCGACGUGAGAGCGGUGAUCCCGGGCAGCAGAGACGUUCCGGAGCAACAGGGACACCACGGGGACGCGGCGACAGCGAUGGACGGCGACAUCGAGGGCAGCGGUGACGGGUCCGGAGCAGCGGGGACAGGAAAAGCCGGCUGUUCAUUUCUAGGAAGACUGCCGAGAUAGCAUAAUACUUUACUGAACAGCAAUGGACCUGAAACAAGUCACUAAUAGGACAAUAGACGCUAGAUCUGGAAGACACAUUGAUCAUUGGACGCUUGUGUGAGGCAUUUUAUUCCAUACGUCAUGGAGGGUUUGUUGGCUUUAACAUCCUUCUUCCUCAAGCCCAGCGAUGAAUAGUUGUAAAGAUGCUGCCGCCCUCAGUCUGGAGAAGGCAAAAUUUUCCAGUUUGAUUGGUGUCUAUUAUGUUCAAUAUAGGCUGCAAGAAUUAAAGUCAAGCUUGGAAAUGUUGGAUCACAAUACCCUUCACAGUGUAUGAAAUAAGGACAUUUCCUGGGCUCAUAAAAUGCGUUGGGUUACAGGCCUCGCACACAGAGACUGCUGUAGGCACUCUCAGGAAUUCCUGGACCUAAGCCUGAUUUGAAAAAUGGUGACUGGAUGACGGGGAAAUCGUUGCGGGAUCGAAGUUGAAAGGACAGUCUUGAUGGUAUCUUCACGCUCAUAUGAAUUUUUAAUUCUUAGACUCUGAUUUUAUCGCUUAUGAAAGCUUGCAUUACUUCCGUCACCAAUGGCGGUCUGUGGUUUGUAUAGAUGGGAACUAUUCAAAAAUUGUCUUAUUAUUUAGUGAGUCAAGCUUCACGGGAAGCCAGGGUUUACUAUUGAUACGCGCAGUACAGGGAUGGAUGGAGGUCUGUUUGUACUCUACACUACUUUAAUUACAUAUUGAGUAUAUUGCAUCUGAAAGGGGUCUUGUAUUGGAGUGGUCUUCUUAAAGAAUAUGACCACAAUGCAGGAAGUUUGAGGAUUAAAAAUCUUUCAGACAAAAUCUAACGUGGAAAAGGGAGUGAUCUUCUUAAAUAAGUAGUCUUUUGAAGAAGUUUCACUAUUUUUAAUCUGAUACUUGGGUAUGUUACUUAUUAUUGUUAGCAGUGUGAUACAUAAACAUAUUUUGCUGAUAUACUGACCAUAGAUUGCACAAGGAUGCAGCUUAUUAUUCACUGGAUACAGAGUUUUUUAAUUGUCUGUUUUCACUUCAAUUAAGGUAUUUUUAAUCAUUUAACCUGUUAAGGACCAAGAGCGUACUUGUACGCCCUAAAUCCUUAAGUGGCUUUGAAGCGAGUGCAGGAGCUGCGCUCGCUUCAGAGGAGUGAGUGUCGGCUACUAGCAGUAGCCAGACACUAACUGCUAAUGGCAGGUCGCGGCAAUCCUGCCACUUCCGUCAUCAUUCCUUAAGAUGCCAUGAUCAAUGUGGCGACUAAAAUGAAAGGGAAAGAUCAUCAGUAACUCAGAGGGGCUCACGUGAGCAAAAACGGCAAAGGAGGGUCCCCUUACCUGCCACCGAUCAGUAGAUAGCUGAUAACACUGUAUAAUGCUAAACCAUAGACAUAGCAUUAUACAGAAAAUACAAUCUAAUGAUUGCAUAUCAAAGUUCCCUUUGGGAUCUUAAAAAAUGUAACAAAAUAAAUAAAAAGAAGUUUCUAAAAUUAUAUAAAACCCUUUCCCCUAAUUAAAAAAUAAAUUACC